UACGUAGGGGGCAAGCGUUGUCCGGAAUCAUUGGGCGUAAAGAGCGUGUAGGCGGCCCGGUAAGUCCGCUGUGAAAGUCCAGGGCUCAACCCUGGGAUGCCGGUGGAUACUGUCGGGCUCGAGUCCGGAAGAGGAGUGUGGAAUUCCUGGUGUAGCGGUGGAAUGCGCAGAUAUCAGGAGGAACACCGGUGGCGAAGGCGGGUCUCUGGGCCGAUACUGACGCUGAGGAGCGAAAGCGUGGGGAGCGAACAGG
rnacentral:rRNA from 1 species